UACGUAGGGUGCGAGCGUUGUCCGGAAUUAUUGGGCGUAAAGAGCUCGUAGGCGGUGUGUCGCGUCGGCCGUGAAAACCUGGGGCUUAACUCUGGGCGUGCGGUCGAUACGGGCAUCACUAGAGUUCGGCAGGGGAGACUGGAAUUCCUGGUGUAGCGGUGAAAUGCGCAGAUAUCAGGAGGAACACCGGUGGCGAAGGCGGGUCUCUGGGCCGAUACUGAC
rnacentral:rRNA from 1 species